UCUUAGUAAAUAAAUUACUUAGAAUUAACUUAUUGGUAUCGCCACGAGAUUUCUCUUAGUAAAUAAAUUACUCUUACACCGAUGGUUCUCAACAUAACAUAUUGAUCUUGCCACAAAGUUUCUCAUAGUAACCAAGUUACUAUUACACUGAUAGUUCAACAACAUAUUGUCUCUUAGUAACUAAAUUACUAUUAAAUCGAUGCUUCUCAACAUUCCGUUUGAAACAUGCGCAAACUUUGGCUUGCUGUGCCAAGUCUCCCCAGAAUCUGUGCUUUGCCUCAUUAUCGUCGUCACCACCGUGAAGCCAUCCUUGCCGUCACUCCUCCCUGGACUUGACAUGCACCAACGCAGUUGACAGGAGGACACCACUUUCUGCAUCUCCGGAUGAGGAAAAAAUUCAGAGAGCCUCCUAAUCAUGUUAUGCUUUUGCUCAAGAAUAAUGUGUAGUUAUAAAACUGAAAUAUCAGGUACGCUCCUAAUUCAUCAUGUUGUUGCUAGGAAAUUGAAAUCACAGAGCAUGAAAACACAAACAGAAAGAUUAGUCUGAAUGGCACAUCAACAGCUAGAGGGAGCACAUAAAAGAAAGGAGUAUAAUUUCUCACAGUAAGUUUGUUUCCCACUUAAAUAUCUGAACAAAAACAGAUCCAGAAUUACAGGUAGAAUGAAACAAAAUUGAAAAUUGCAUUUGAUUUCCUCAAUAAUUGCAGAUGCUAUGUAUUAAAAAUGCACAAGGAUAUGAACGGAAACAAAAUGAUUAUGGAACUGGAAGCAAAACAGCCAGCAACUAUAUGUUUUCAACAGGCCUGACUCAACAAAUUUGUGAAAUUAUUAUGUUCAGCUCAGUCACACAAUAAAAAUAGGAAAAGGUGUUUCCAGAUGCUAAAACAUCACUGCACAGGUGCUAAAACAUCACUGGGUUGAACUUUGGGUUAAUUGAAGUGUAUAGCUUAAUUUAACCCAGUGCAAAUUAAAGCGCAGCAAGGAAGAUGCAACUAGCCAAACAGGAACAAAUUGAUCCACGAUGGAUCAAUGGGACAUGCAUGUACAUUAUACAAACUCACGAAGGAACACAAGCAAUCAACACAUAUCUGGCGCCGGCAAAUAAGCUGCAAUUAGUUGACCAAACACAGCAGCUGUGCUUCCUCCAAAAAAAGGCAGAAGCUAUAGCCUAUAGAGAUCAAUCGAGCAGACAGAUCAUGUAGCAAAAUAAAACACCAACUAAUUGCACAAUCUAACACUCGAUCGAGGGCACGUAUGUGUACGUGCAGACGGGUGGAUUCAGAUCGAUUCAACGAUAGUAUCAAGAUUAGAUUAGAGUGAGUAAAAAGCCAAGCGAUCGAACAAACAUGCACCAUUCAACUGCUCUACCGAGCGCCAUGACCGUCGCCUCUCCUCCUCGCCGCCGCUGCAAACUGGAUGUCAGCACUUCAGUCCCGGACCGCAGGCCGCCGUGGAGGAUUGGGACAAGGGGCUGCACGGUGGAAGAGACGACGAAGGCGUAGAACUGCUAUGGAGGAGGCGGCGGCGUGGAUACUGCUCUCCUCCAUGCAUUGUCGAUCUCGAGAUCCAUAAAAAACGGAAAAUUGAAAAGAGAGAGGAUAGUGGGGGUAAAAAAAAUAGAUAGGCAGACGUGCGGGAGGGAGGGAGGGUGGAGGGUGUUGGGG
rnacentral:lncRNA from 1 species